rnacentral:rRNA from 1 species
CCUACGGGUGGCAGCAGUGGGGGAUAUUGCACAAUGGGGGAAACCCUGAUGCAGCGACGCCGCGUGAGUGAAGAAGUAUUUCGGUAUGUAAAGCUCUAUCAGCAGGGAAGAAAAUGACAGUACCUGACCAAGAAGCCCCGGCUAACUACGUGCCAGCAGCCGCGGUAAUACGUAGGGGGCAAGCGUUAUCCGGAUUUACUGGGUGUAAAGGGAGCGUAGACGGUUAUGUAAGUCUGGAGUGAAAGCCCGGGGCCCAACCCCGGGACUGCUGUGGAAACUGUGUAACUGGAGUGCAGGAGGGGCAGGCGGAAUUCCUGGUGUAGCGGUGAAAUGCGUAGAUAUCAGGAGGAACACCGACGGCGAAGGCAGCCUGCUGGACUGAAACUGACGUUGAGGCUCGAAAGCGUGGGGAGCGAACAGGAUUAGAUACCCCGGUAGUC